CAGGCUCAGUCACUGAGUCGCCGACUCGUCCACCGAUCGAGCGAAAAUAGUCGUCUCAGGGAUGAUCUCCACGGUCCUUAUCCGUGUAGGAUCCUUCCUCACAUUUCCGAGGACGGACGGAGUCCAGUCCACGAUUCCGGCUCCGGGAACUCGUUCCUGAGGCGGAACACCAGCUCCUUGCAUUCUCCCCAGUGCCAGUGCGCUGCCGCGAUUCAUCUUGAAACAGAGGGCGGGGGGAAGAAGUGUCUUCUUCGACGAGCCGGAGCCAAUCUAGCCGGAUCGAACCGCUCUCCUCCGAUCUCGGAGAAGGUGGCGGAGGAAGAGGAGGAUGAUCUGGCGGUGAAAUGGUGCGAUCUUGGAAUGUCGGUGCUGGCUAGGCUAGCGGGGCAGAUGGAGUACUCAGGCGGCGGGACGGGAAAGGGGAAGAAUGUCGGCCGAGGCAGGAGGGGCGGAGACGGCGAUCAUGACGACAACCGAAGGAUCUCGAUCGGAUUACUACCAGCAGAUGUUGGAGACCGACUCUGCUAAUGACAAAUGUUAAUUUUCUUGAUCUUUGCUUUAGCAUUCGGAGGAUGACGAGACAAGAAGCAGCAAGAUAAGGAAAGAGACCAACAGCAGUGGACGCAGAUGACAAAUGUUGAUGUUCUUGAUUUUUCCUAUUGGAUUCUUCUUCAUCUUCUUUAAUAUUUUCCUGGAUUCUUCUCCAUCUCUGAGUGUAGAACUCUUGAGAAACUUGUAAAGUAGUGGAAGAUUUCGUGCCAGUUCGGAUCAUCAUCUUGCUUUUGGUAUCAGUAGAUGAGUUGAUCUUGUAAGGCAUGUCAAAAGAGAAGUUGGAAAGUUAGAGCAGUCUAAAAAAAUUCUCAAACUUCUCGUGUUGUUCUAGUACAUGAGCAGCUUGAGCUCGAGCAAGUCAUCAAUACACACGAGUCUGCAGUGCAGCUCUCUGAUCAGUUACCUCAUGAAGAGAAAAAGUUAUUGCCUCAGACCUGUCAUGAGAAAGAAAUUAAUCACGCAUUGUGAAUGAACUCUCAACUAAUUUGUCAGUUGCAAGUCAAGCAGCAACUGAGGAUUUAAUUCAAUCCUGAGGAUGGAUGUGGAUAGUCGAGCGGCAAAUCAGAAGCAAGGAGAAGUAUCUAGGGACAAAAGUAAAAUGAGAGGGCAAGUAUAGUUUCAAUUCAUGUCCCAUAUAUGAAUAUGGGAUAUCAAAUGUGUUGUUGAAUUGUGUGGUUUUUCUAGACUACAAUGAG